AUUGAACGCUGGCGGCAGGCCUAACACAUGCAAGUCGAACGGUAACAGGAAGCAGCUUGCUGCUUCGCUGACGAGUGGCGGACGGGUGAGUAAUGUCUGGGAAACUGCCUGAUGGAGGGGGAUAACUACUGGAAACGGUAGCUAAUACCGCAUAACGUCGCAAGACCAAAGAGGGGGACCUUAGGGCCUCUUGCCAUCGGAUGUGCCCAGAUGGGAUUAGCUAGUAGGUGGGGUAACGGCUCACCUAGGCGACGAUCCCUAGCUGGUCUGAGAGGAUGACCAGCCACACUGGAACUGAGACACGGUCCAGACUCCUACGGGAGGCAGCAGUGGGGAAUAUUGCACAAAGGGCGCAAGCCUGAUGCAGCCAUGCCGCGCGUAUGAAGAAGGCCUUCGGGUUGUAAAGUACUUUCAGCGGGGAGGAAGGGAGUAAAGUUAAUACCUUUGCUCAUUGACGUUACCCGCAGAAGAAGCACCGGCUAACUCCGUG
rnacentral:rRNA from 1 species